CUGAAGGAUGAGGAAGAGAUACAGACAAAUCACCAUAGAUGCCAUUCAAUUUGUCUACAAGGUUCAAUACAUAGUCAUCUAACACAACAUUUAGGUCUCCGCUCACCAUCGAAGCACCUUUGGACUUACACCAUGAAGUUGGAAAAGGUCUCCCCAUUAAAAUUUCAAAGGGUGAAUAACCCGUAGUGGAACUAGGGGUCAUUCUGAUCUCAGCUAAAACUCCUGGCAAAUUGUCUGGCCAUUUGCGUGUGCUACCC